GACGAACGCUGGCGGCGUGCUUAACACAUGCAAGUCGAGCGGUGAACCACUUCGGUGGGGAUCAGCGGCGAACGGGUGAGUAACACGUGGGCAACCUGCCCCUACGCUCUGGGAGUAACCCCGGGAAACCCGGGGCGUAAUACCGGAUAUGACCUCGAGCGGCAUCACUCGAGGUGGAAAGAUUUAUUGGUCUAGGGAUGGGCCCGCGGCCUAUCAGCUUGUUGGUGGGGUAACGGCCUACCAAGGCGACGACGGGUAGCCGGCCUGAGAGGCGACCGGCCACCACUGGGACUGAGACACGGCCC
rnacentral:rRNA from 1 species